CAAACUGCGUUUGACAGCUCAUUCUUCGCCACACACUCACACUCACACAAACACGCGCGCGCAAACAAACACAAACACAAACACACACACGCGCGCACGCGCCUGCAUUAGCACGGAAAACGUACUUUUAUCUCAGUAACGAGCUAAACACGGACGUGAGCUCCACAGUGUUUAGGGACUGACCCUUCGGACCGCGGCCCGUCGCAACGGGCGUUGACGAUUGCCUUCACUUGAGAAUCUGAAGAACAGGUUCCAGACUCAUGAAGAGGUUAUUAGAGAGUGGCAAAACUGAGGCAUGCUCCGAAGGGAAAGAAAAUACAAAUAUUUAACAGAAGAAAAAACAAUGGAUCUACAUCAUCUUCCAGAUUCACUUCAACUCCCAGGUCCAGCAGAAACUCCACGAUGUCGGUGUGUCCAGCAGAACAGGCCCAGUGCAGUGCGGUCCGGCGGUCCUGAGGCCACAGAGAGAGAGAGGAGGAGA